rnacentral:rRNA from 1 species
UACGUAGGGGGCAAGCGUUGUCCGGAUUCAUUGGGCGUAAAGAGCGUGUAGGCGGCCAGGUAGGUCGGUUGUGAAAACUGGAGGCUCAACCUUCAGAGGUCGACCGAAACCAUCUGGCUAGAGUCCGGGAGGGGAGAGUGGAAUUCCUGGUGUAGCGGUGAAAUGCGCAGAUAUCAGGAAGAACACCCGUGGCGAAAGCGGCUCUCUGGAACGGUACUGACGCUGAGACGCGAAAGCGUGGGGAGCGAACAGG